UGUGAGAGGGAAUUUGAAAGACAACAGUUUAUCCCGCCCUUUGAAUUGAGACCUGCCAAUGGUGAGUUCCCAGACCCGACAUCUUGAUGAUGUGGGUCUGGCUCUUCAGGCUAAAG